rnacentral:sRNA from 1 species
GCCAGGCACAGUGGUGCACGCCUGUAAUCCCAGCAGCUUGGGAGGCUGAGGCAGGAGGAUCAAGAGUUCAAAGCCAGCCUCAGCAAAGCAAGGUGCUAAGCAACUCAGCAAGACCCUGUCUCUA